rnacentral:sRNA from 1 species
UGAGUGUCGGAACUAGUUCCAUUAAACA